AGUGAACGCUGGCGGUAGGCCUAACACAUGCAAGUCGAACGGCAGCACAGUAAGAGCUUGCUCUUACGGGUGGCGAGUGGCAGACGGGUGAGGAGUACAUCGGAAUCUACUUUUUCGUGGGGGAUAACGUAGGGAAACUUACGCUAAUACCGCAUACGACCUACGGGUGAAAGCAGGGGAUCUUCGGACCUUGCGCGAUUGAAUGAGCCGAUGUCGGAUUAGCUAGUUGGCGGGGUAAAGGCCCACCAAGGCGACGAUCCGUAGCUGGUCUGAGAGGAUGAUCAGCCACACUGGAACUGAGACACGGUCCAGACUCCUACGGGAGGCAGCAGUGGGGAAUAUUGGACAAUGGGCGCAAGCCUGAUCCAGCCAUACCGCGUGGGUGAAGAAGGCCUUCGGGUUGUAAAGCCCUUUUGUUGGGAAAGAAAAGCAGCAGGUUAAUACCCCGCUGUUCUGACGGUACCCAAAGAAUAAGCACCGGCUAACUUCGUG
rnacentral:rRNA from 1 species